rnacentral:lncRNA from 1 species
UUAAAGACUAUGACUGCGAGAUACUUUACCACCCCGGUAAAGCUAAUGUUGUUGCUGAUGCUCUCAGUCGGAAAGUCAAUCUUGAAAGGAAGAGGCCAAGAGCGUUGAGAAUUGAAGUUGUCUCGACUAUUGUGGAAAGUAUAAAGAAAGCUCAAGAGGAAGCUUCUGAGAAAAAUGACCGAAAGGAGGAACGUUUGGGUAAAACGUUGGUGUUUGGUACUAACGGUCAUGGACUGAAGGUAUUCCAAGAUCGUAUUUGGGUACCUAAGUCAGGAGGAAUUAGGGAUCUUCUGAUGGAAGAAGCUCACAAAACCAUGUACUCAAUUCAUCCGGGUAGCACUAAAAUGUAUAGGGACCUGAAACCCUACUACUGGUGGCCGACGAUGAAGCUUGAUGUUGCAAAGUAUGUGGCCGAGUGUGUGACUUGUGCGAGAGUCAAGACACAACAUCAGAAACCUUACGGGAGUUUAGAACCAUUGCCUGUGCCUAUGGGUAAGUGGGAAGACAUUGCUAUGGAUUUUGUCACUAAACUGCCCAGAACAAAGAAUGGUCACGACAUGAUUUGGGUGGUCGUUGAUCGAUUCACUAAGAGUGCGCAUUUCAUAGCGGCCAGGGAGAAAUGGUCUAUGGAAAAGCUUGCGAAUUCUUACGUGAAGGAAAUUGUGAGGCUUCACGGUGUUCCGUUAACGAUUGUAUCGGAUCGUGAUAUCCGUUUCACCUCGAGGUUUUGGAAAAGUCUACAAGAGGAAUUGGGUACCAAGUUGAGUUUGUGUACAACAUACCAUCCACAGACUGAUGGUCAGAGCGAACGGACAAUACAAACACUUGAAGAUAUGCUGAGAUCAUGUACCCUGGAAUUCCAAGGUAACUGGGAUGAACAUUUACCUUUGGUAGAAUUUUCCUACAAUAAUAGUUUCCACUCGAGCAUAAAGAUGUCACCUUAUCAAGCUUUAUAUGGACAGAAGUGUCGUACGCCGUCUUGUUGGCUUGAGGCUGGGGAAGAGCAGUUUAUGGGACCGGAGAUAGUCCAUCAAACUGCUGAAAAGUUGAAAAUAAUUAAGGAAAGAAUGUUAGCAGCUCAAGAUCGUCAAAAGAGCUAUGCUGACAACAAGCGAAGACCGAUGACUUUUGAAGUUGGAGAUUCAGUUUCGCUUAAAGUCUCGCCAUGGAAGGGACUUAUAAGAUUUGGUAAAAGGGGAAAAUUAAGUCCAAGGUUUAUUGGACCGUUUAAAGUCCUUUAGAGGAUUGGGAACCAAGCUUACAAGCUCGAACUACCAAAAGAGCUGAAUGGAAUUCAUAACACUGUCCAUGUGUGUUAUUUGAGGAAGUUCACGGGAGAAGUACCCGACAUGAUUCCACUUUCGGAGUUGAGAAUCGAUGAGAACAAAAGGUUGAUUGAAGAACCAGAGGCAAUCGAUGACCGAAAGACUAAGAAGUUGCGAUGCAAGAUGGUCGAGUCAGUGCCUGUCCGAUGGAAACACACGAAUGGGCCAAAUCUCACUUGGGAGACGGAGAGUGACAUGAUGAGUCGCUACCCGCAUUUGUUUGUAGAUGUGUGAUUUCGGCGACAGAAUCAUUCUAAGGUGGAGAGAACUGUGACGCCUGUGUUUCUGGGCUUGUCAUUAAUGUUGUUAUAAUAGUCUAGGUUAACCUUUGUAACCUGUUUUGAAAUAAUAGAAGUAUAUUAUUUGAGUAUUAUGUGUUUUGUGCUUAACUGUGCGACUUAAUUGAAUUAAGAAUAAAAAUAAGCGUCAAAAUGAAAUGUUAGAUAAGCUCGAUGUCUAUGGAUAAUGUCGUAGUAGUUGAAAUGAGGUUUCUGAAUAUAUAAAGAAUGCCGAAAUCUGAGUUAUAACGAAGAAGUUAUGACCUAUCGAAGUUUCGCGACAGAACCGGCAACGCUGAAUGACGCAAAAAGUGAAAUUUAUGUUAGAGCGAUAUUUAUCCUUAGUGAUCUAAAAGAAAGUCAUAGAGUUCGUUAAACCGAGAGCAUGCAUAAAAAUAACGCCCAAAUCUGACUUCGUGUGAGGAAGUUAUGAUUUUCCGAAGUUUCAGCUUAGCGGUAUGCAGCCUGAAUACUAGAUUUGAAACCAAGCAGUUUUUAGCCGAAACAAUCUAAACGAUAACCGAAGAUCUCGUUAAUUGUAGUGAAACGAUAAAAAGAUAGGCGAAAACGGACGUCGGAUGAAGAAGUUAUGAAUUUAUAACGGAGUUUUCAUGUCCCAGCCUACUAAAAAUAAAUUCAAAAUUAGCCGACGGAGUGUAAAUGAAAGUUCUAGAGCGUAGUCUCACCUACACGUGGAUAUAAAGAACAUCAAAAACGGAGUUCAUAUGAGGAAUAUAUGUAUUUUUGGAGUUUAUUAAAUAAUUAAUAUAUAAAUUUAAUUAUUAAAUCCGAUGUUAUUCGAAGGGGAGUCACCAGACUUAUCUGGGUUACGCCCAACGUAAGGUUGUACGCCCAGCGUACAGCGAAGCAUGAGGACCCUCGCACUCGAGUUCUUUGGAUACGUAAGCAGUGAAGAUUUCGGAGGAGUACGCCCCGCAUAGAGCAUUACGCCCAGCGUAAUGCGAGGCCUCUGCCUCCUAUAAAAGGGCAUGCGAGGGCAGCCUAAUUCUUUUGCCAAUUUCUUACUUUCUCUCUAGCUUUUGCCUCAAUUUGCGUGCCAAUUAUACCACGAAACCCCGGUAUCAUUCCCGAGCCCCGAAGAUCCCGAGAAGUGCAAUUCUCGAGCCGAAGCUCUGCUCGCGAGAAGCCCGAUUUUUGUGAAGAUCUUCCAGAUCUACUGAAGAAUACUACUUCUGCAAGUCGUAGUGCUGUCCAAUCAUCUUCUGAUCAAGUGAUUGUGUAGUUACUUUCUUCUAACGCAUAAUUAUGAAGUAUUUUAUACGAAAUACGUGUUAUGUGUAUAUUUUUAUUGUUAUGGGUGUGAAUGUAUAUUCACUCUCUUCUAUCACAUAGAUCUGAUUUAUUCUCUAUGAAAUACGUGUUAUGUGGGUGUGCCUCAUAUGUUAUGUGGAAUAUGUAUUGAAUGAGAAUGAUAUACAGGUUUUAAACUAUGUAUAAAAAUAUAUAUUUUUAUCUACUAAUAUGUUGGAUAGAACAUGGGUAGCUAGUUGAUGUGUGAUAAACAGAUGAGAGGCCUCGAUGUUGUUGUUGUUGAUCUAGUUAUUCAGCGGAGUAUGGAUAACGACCACAGACUCUUUCUAGAUAGUCCAGUGGAAUGAUAGCAGGUUCAUAACGUGUAGGUGUUCUGAACGAUGUGUUCACCGGUGUACUCUAUCCCCCUCAUAGUUGCCUUUAGGAUAUCUAUUGUUGAGGAAACCCCUUAGUAGUAAUGUCCGUCCCGAUGAAAAUCCUAGAUUAGGUCCCUUUAGAUAGAUGUUGUUUUAGGGACAUAAAGUGAGGAUAACGGGAAUGGGUAAUCGGGUUAUUGUUAGUUGGUGAAAAUAAAUAUAAUUAUUUAUUGUGGGUUGAAAACCCUAUAUGCUCACCAGGCUCCCAAGCCUGACCCACUUAGUUUAUGCUUUAUGGUCUGUAUCGGAACAUGACAUCCCGAGUUUUGAUUAUAUAAUGAAAACGCAUCUCUUGAUGAAAUGCUUUGAUAAAUGUUAUCUUAUCACAUUUUGUUUUUGAGAACAAAUUCCGAAACUCUUUUAAAUCAAAAGGAUUUACUCUGAAAUUAUUUUAAAAAACAUAAAUGAAACCAGUCUUUUCUGGCCGUGAUUUUGGGGAUGUCACAAGCAAGGUCAAGUUCGCUGCUUGCACCUUUGAGGCAAAAGCCCUGACGUGGUGGAAUAGCCAUGUCAAGUCACUAUCUCUAGUGGUGGCUAACAUUAUAGGAUGGGAAGCUCUUAGACAGCUGAUGAUUGAGGAAUAAUGCCCGAGGGGCGAGAUCUAGAAAUUAGAAGAGGAACUAUGGAGCCUAACCAUGAAGGGCUCCGACAUAGUUUUCUAUACCGCCAGGUUCAGCGAGAUGGUGGCCCUAUGUCCCAAUAUGGUUCAUACAGAGGGAAAGAAUAUAGAGAGGUACAUCUGGGGGCUGGUGCCUCCAUUUCAGGGGAAUGUUUUAGCUUCAAACCCCACUACAUUCGAUAGUCCCAAGCAGUUGGCACAGCGGCUCAUUGACCAUGGGGUUCGUACCCCAAGCGCAACAACGACCCUAGCCAUCUCAGAACCCUCCAAAACCGCUGAAUCCAAGCAGAAUUUCUGGGAUGACAAGAAGAAGAAGAAGGCUGCCAAAAAGCAGCAGGUCGUGGUAGUUCAUGCUGCGAUAGCACCUGCCGCUGCUGCUCCGGUAAAGCAGUACGUUGGAAGUUUGCCCAAGGGCAACAAAUGCAACUUCCACCACAUCGGUGCCUGCCGGGAAAUGCAGUGUUCAAACUGCAACAGGAAGGGGCACACAACCCGUUUCUGCAAAGCACCGACGAGGCCAAUCAACCAAGUCCCCGGGGCAGGAGUGGGCCAAGCUUGCUACGGUUGUGGCGAGGCGGGCCACUACAAGAGGAACUUACCUGAGGCAGGGAAUGCCGGUGGAGUAGGAAGAGUUCUGGAAAUAGGCCUCGAGGAAGCGGUUGCCGACCCCACAUUGGUCACUGGUACGUUCCACCUCAAUAACUCUUAUGCAUGCAAACUAUUUGAUAGUGGAGCGGAGAGGAGUUUCAUGAACCAAAAAUUCUCUCAUUUACUUAAGCAAAAAUCACGAGCACUUAAAGAACCGUUCACUGUAGAAAUGGAUAAUGGGAAGACAGAGAGCACUAGCAGUAUAUACAUAGGGUGUACCCUAACUCUAGAUAGCCAUUCUUUUUCGAUCGACCUCAUGUCGGUCUCAAUUAAAAGUUUUGAUGUCAUUUUCGGCAUGGAUUGGUUGAGUCUUCGUCUUGCUGACAUCAUGUGUUAUGAAAAGGUUGUUUGCCUAAAUCUGCCGUCGGGCGAAACUCUAGAAAUCUAUGGCGACAAACCCAGUACUAACCUUCGUAUCAUCUCAAGCAUUCAAGCCCAGAAAUUCUUGCGAAAGGAAUGUCAUGUAUUCCUUGCUCAUGUGGUCAAUGUGAGCCAAGAAACGAAAGACAUUAAGAACAUUCCAGUAGUACGUGAUUUUCCCGACAUAUUUCCAGAAGAACUCCUAGGAUUACCUCCACAACGUCAAGUCAAGUUCAAGAUCGACUUUGUUCCAGGGGCUACCCCAUUAGCCAUAUCGCCUAAUCGUCUAGCACCUGCAGAGAUGCAAGAACUGUCUAGUUAACUUAACGAACUACUCAGCAAGGGAUUUAUAAGACCAAGCUUCUCACCCUAAGGAGCUCCAGUCUUAUUCGUCAAGAAGAAAGACGGAUCGUUUCGUAUGUACAUCGAGUACAGGGAGCUCAACAAACUGAUCAUCAAAAAUCGUUACCCUCUGCCUCGUAUAGACGAUUUAUUUGAUCAACUUCAAGGGGCAAACUUCUUUUCAAAAAUCGAUAUAAGAUUCAGAUAUCACUAACUACGAGUGCUAAGGGACGAUGUCCCGAAGACAGCCUUCCGAACUCGUUUUGGGCACUACGAAUUCGUAGUGAUGCCGUUUGGAUUAAAAAACGCGCCCGCAGUAUUCAUGGAUUUAAUGAAUACGGUGUGUCAUCCUUACUUGGAUCAGUUCGUCAUCGUCUUCAUCAAUUACAUACUUAUCUACUCUCGUAGUAAGGAGCAACAUAGUCAAAAUCUGCGACAAGUCUUAGAAACGCUACGUUCGUAGAAGCUCUAUGCGAAGUUCUCGAAAUGUGAAUUUUGGAUCCGUAGAUUCCAAUUCUUAGGGCACGUGGUUAGUGAAGAAGGAAUACACGUGGACCCUUCAAAAAUCAAAGCCAUUGAGAGCUGGUCAGCACUAAAGAUGCCUACCGAAAUUCGUCAAUUUCUAGGCCUCACUGGAUACUAUCGCAAGUUCAUUCAGAACUUCUCCUGAAUUGCGAAACCUCUUACAAAACUGACCCAGAAGGGUGUGGCCUUUGACUUGGAAGAGAAGCCGGAGAGAUCGUUCCAAACGCUCAAGCGAGCCUUGUGCACCGCACCAAUACUAUCCCUCCCCGAAGGGAGAGAAGACUUCGUUGUCUAUUGUGAUGUGUCAAAUCAAGAGCUCGGAUGUGUUCUGAUGCAACGAGGUAAGGUCAUCGCCUAUGCCUCAAGACAGCUGAAUACACACGAGGUCAAUUACACCACUCAUGAUCUUGAGCUAAGAGCAGUUGUGUUUGCUCUGAAGAUCUGGAGACACUACCUGUAUGGUACAAAAAGCACUAUCUUUACAGACCACAAAAGCCUACAACAUAUAUUCGACCAGAAGGAGCUCAACAUGAGACAACGAUGGUGGUUCGAGCUACUCAGUGAUUACGAAUGCGAAAUUCUUUAUCAUCCGGGUAAAGCCAACAUAGUAGCUGACGCCCUAAGUCGGAAAGAAUACUCUAGUCGUAGAGUCAAAUCAUUGACUAUGACUAUCCAUUCACACUUGUCCACGCAAAUUAAGGAGGCUCAGCUCGAGGCUUUGAAACCUGAAAAUGUGGCGAGUGAAUCCCUGACAGGGAUGGAUAAGAACAUGGAAGUCAAAGGUGGUGGAGCCUUAUAUUUCAUGGAUCGGAUCUGGACACCGAAGCACGGUGGUUUCAGAGACUUGGUCAUGACCGAGGCGCACAACACUCGUUAUUUCGUCCACCCAGGUUCUGAUAAGAUGUAUCUGGAUCUUAAAAAGCUAUACUUGUGGCCUAACAUGAAAGCAGAGAUUGCUACCUUCGUAAGUAAAUGCAUUACUUGCGCUAAAGUCAAGGUCGAAUACCAGAAACGCUCAGGUCUUCUACAACAGCCAGAGAUACCAGAAUAGAAGUGGGAGCAGAUCACUAUGUACUUCAUAACCAAGUUGCCGAAGACAACGGGUGGACUUGAUACCAUAUGGGUCAACGUCAACAGAUUGACCAAGUCCACAUACUUCCUGCCUAUCAAAGAAACAGACAAGAUGGAGAAGCUUACAAGAACCUACAUACGGGAGAUUGUACGACUGCACGGUGUUCCCAUAUCCAUUAUCUCGGACAGAGAUAGUAGAUUCACUUCGAGGUUAUGGCAGUUGCUACAAAGUUCCCAAGGAACUAGACUGGACAUGAGUACAACCUAUCCUCCACAGACCGAUGGACAAAGUGAGAGGACUAUCCAAACCUUGGAAGAUAUGUUGCGAGCCUAUGUGAUCAACUUUGGGAAAGCAUGGGAUACUUAUUUACCCCUUGUCUAAUUUUCCUACAACAACAGUUAUCACACGAGCAUAAAGGCCGCUCCAUUCAAGGCCCUCUAUGGCCGAAAGUGCACAUCCCUUCUGUGUUGGGCUGAGGUGGGUGAUACCCAGUUAGCUAAAGGACGAGUUCCUGACAGCACUCUCACGGGUCCGGAGAUGAUACGGGAAAUGACAGAUAAGAUCGUUCAGAUUCGUGAACGAUUGAAAGCCUCUAGAGACCGACAGAAAAGCUACACAUAUAAAUGAAGGAAACCGUUGGAAUUCCAGGUGGGCGACCGUUUUCUAUUGAAGGUCUCACCCUGUAAAGUCUUGAUACGCUUCGGAAAGCAUGGAAAGCUAAAUCCAAGAUACAUAGGGCAUUUGAGAUUCUUGCUAGAAUCGGCCCGGUAGCUUACAAACUUAACUUAACUCGUGAACUCAGUAACAUACAUUCUAUUUUCCAUGUCUCGAACUUGAAAAAGUGUCGGUCCGACGAGACUCUUGUAAUCCCACUUGACGAGAUCGAGAUCAAGGAGAGUCUCAACUUCGUGGAAGAACCAGUAGAGAUCAUGGACCGAGAGGUCAAGCAAACAAAGCAAAGUCGUAUCCUGAUAGUGAAGGUUCGUUGGAGUGCCAAGCGAAGACCUGAAUUCACUUGGGAGCGAGAGGAUCAGAUGAAACUGAAACAUCCUCAUCUUUUUACUUAGUUAUUUGUAACUACUUAUUUGCUUAAACUUUAAUUUCGGGACGAAAUUCCUUCUAAUGGGGGGAUGAUGUGACAACCCGAAAUUUUCAUUUGUACGAACUCUAUAGUCAAACACUUCAAUUAAAAGUCAAAUUCAUUUCUGCUAAUUUUCAGCUCGGUUUAAAGGCCGAUUGGGUAUUUUUAAAUAUUUAUUCUUUGAAAGGAUAAACGAAAGGAAGUAUACUUUAGGAUUAUUUUUUCAACAUUUAUGUCUCAAAACUCCAAGAGUUAGGAUUUAUCAGCCCAAAUAGUGUUUGGACCGAAAACCCUAAAGGGUAUAUAAAUGACACUUAGUCAUUUUUACCAUUCUUUUCCAUUUUCCAAGUCAAGAACAAUUCUCUCUCAAGUAUUAUCCAAAGAUUUUUCGAGAUCUUCAAGAUUGUAAGUGUUUCCUUCCUUGUUUAGUUGAUCUUUUCCAUUAUCUAGUGAUCUUACAUGAUUUCAUCCGUGAAAUCAUUCGAUUUUCUUAGAUCUUCAAGUGUUCUUCAAGAACACCAAGAACACACACUAGUGUUUUGGGCCGAAAACACCCUUCUUUGCUUCCAUAUUGUAAGUAUCUAUCUCUUAUACUUGUUAUCUAGUAAGGAUACUUGUUUUUGAGCCUUGAAAUCAUCAUUUUUCCAAUAAAAAAAAGAGGUUUUCGGUUAGUGCAUCUCCUUAAACCGAAAACCCUAAAGAAAGGUGCCUUUAAGACAUUAAGCCUUUCCUAAGCUUAGUAUUGAGUCUAGAACACUUCUUUGCUUGUUGAAAGCCCUUGUAAAUCACCUUAUGCAUCAAAUAUCAGGAGUUUUCGGGCAACCAUUUGGACCGAAAACCUCUUUGGACCGAACACCAUAUGGACCGAAAACCACAAGAAACAUACCACUUGAACCGAAAACUCCCUUAAGUGGCUAUACAACCCUUAGAUGCAACCCUUGGUACUUCUACCACUUGAAUCAAAGUGUUUUCCAUGUCCUAGGGUGUCUUAACUUGGUUAAUUAAUUGUUAAAUGAUUAAUUGGAUACAUAUAUGUAUUAUUAUAUGUUAUAUAGGAUUCGUGUGUGUGCUCAAGUCUUCACUUGACACUUAGCAUCCUAUACAAUCCGUUCUUCCAAACCACUCACUACAGGUGAGUUCAGACCCUAAUCUAUCUUUUAAAUGAUUUUAAAUGAUUUUAUGGGGGGAAUACAAGUUGAAACAUUAUAGUUAUUAUAUCAAUCACAUGUGAUUAAUACCUAUCAAACCAAGGAUUUGUUAUUCAAUUAGUUGUUUUAUCAAACAAAGCUAAUUCAAUGGUAAUCAAAUGCUUUUACAUGUUAAAUACUUUUUAUUCAAACUCUUUUAAACUUAUACUUUGUCAAAUGCAUAUCUAUAUAGAUAUAGUUAUAUAAGUAGGAUUAAAAAGACUUAGGACUGAUAGCUCGCCUUGCUUCCUGUUCCUUGUUUGGUUGUGGACUAAGGGUAUCGGUUAUUUGUCCGAAAGUCAUUUUAAUCUUAGUUAUAUAUUAUGUAUAUGUGUAUAGAUAUAAAGUUCCUUCAUUCAGUUCAAUACCUUUGGGUAGCAAAGGUAUAUAAACAUGUUCAUACAUACAAACAACAUUGCUAGUAAACUAUAAUAGGUACAGUUUAGGAAGUUACAAUACUAUUACUAGAACAAUGAAACUAAAAAUGAGUCAGUUCAUAGAUGAGUCAACACAUACUAUAACAAGAAACAUAUAUAGAAUACUAUGAUGAGAAACAAGUAAUAACAUACAGAGAGAACAUACAUACAUACUAGACAGAGAGAGAAUAUACAAUACAGCUAGUACAUACUAUACAUUAUACAAGAGAACAUACUAUUAUGAGAAACAGAGAAAACAUACACACAUACUAAACAGAUGGAGAACAUAAAAUACAGAUAGUACAUACAAUACAUAUACAAGAACAUUACAACAGUUAUGUGAGCCACGUAAGGGAGCAAGGCAUCACCUGUCAUGGCUCGUUUUCUAUCCAGAAUCUCCUUAAGUGGAGAGCGUUGAGUUUGUGUAUAGAUCUGUACUAGAUUGACUAUCCUACACCUUGCUGUUCGCUACAGUGGGACUUGCAAGUCUACGGGUGCCAAAUGUCAUUUCUUCCGACGUCUUUCAUCGUCGUGUUUUUAGUUAGUAGUAAGGUACAGGCAUAUCACAUGGUACUUUAAUUAACAAUUGGAUUAAGGUAGUUAGUACAGCAGUAGUUACCUAAUACAACACUACAGUACUAUUUUAUUUCCCCAUUGCAUUCACUUGUGUUAUUCUCACAAUGAACAGUAAUGUAAAAAAUAUAAUUUUGGUUAAUGAUAGUCAGAAUUGGGAAAAUACAUACUCUUACAAGAGGUAUUCAUACAAACAUUUGAUGCCUUGGUAGAAGGCUACUUUUACUAGAAAACAUAGGGUUUUCUAGGAGAAUUCAAACAUUUACAAACUUAUACAUCAAGUACAUACAAACACUUUCAUACAAACAAUGACACUAAAAUACUUAUGAUCUCACCAGCUUUAAAGUUGAUCAACUCUUUCAAAAUAACUUGUAUUCUCAUGUCAUCAGUAGACAGAUACCGAUGCCAGGCUUUUGAGAAGAUGGAGCUCAUUCAGGACUAAUCUCAUAUUUUGAUUUACUUUUUGGUGUCUAUUAAACUUAACAGAACACACUUGUAUGAAAUUAUACUAUUAAUGCAAUGGAUGAUGUUGUUGCUUGAUUACUACUAUGCAUUGUUGUGAUAAUGAACAUGACGUCCUCGGCCCCUAAACGUUUCCGUCCUUUCGGUUUUGUGGUGUGACAAGGAUCACAAACGAGAUGUAAAUAACCAUGCAAAAUUGCUUGGCACUCUCGAUGUUAUUUAUCAUCUCGUUUUAAUGUUCCGGUUAACCACACACGCUCCAUUAAUCAACGAUAAUUUCGAGAUACCCACUACCACUCUUUAUUACUCCCUCCUUAGUGUGCUGGUUAACCCCACACGCUCUAGUAACGACAUAUAAAGUGUCAUAUGUAAUUUCAUGGAUUAGCAUAUAAAUUCAUAUUUUCCUAAAGUAAGUAAGAGUGGGAUUAUUAGAAAAUAGUUUAGUUACUUUAUGUCAUUAUACUUGUUAAUGAGAUAAUGUCCUAUCAAAUUCGUUCGGCUAACGACCCUCCACCAUACAAGACAGCGGUGAGUAAGAGUGUAUAUCCAAUGACGUUCAUUUUAUAGGCCGCUUCUUAAACUCCUUUUAUAGUAUGGCUUCGUGAAUCAGGCGUACUGGCGAUUUUGCUGACUAUUCUUACACGUAUAAUAUAUAUUAAACUUUUAAUUAUAUACACAUAGUAUAAGGUGUAUUUUAAAACAUUUUUAAAAUAGCAAGGGUUUAAUCUUUUAAUAAAUUAAACUUUUAAUUUAAUUAAAUUUCAACCAUUUUAUGGAUUUAUUAAUUAUCUUUUAAUUAAUUACUUAGUUAAAUUAAUAAUAAGAUCCGUAUCGAUGUAUUUUAAACUUUUCAAAAUACCAAGUUUAUAAAAUAAACCAAAUAAUAUUUGACAUUAAUUAUUAAGUUUAAUUAAUAUAUACAUUUAUUAUUUAUACACUUAAAAGAUCAAUCAUAUUAAUCAACAAAACAAUUAAUCAAGUCAAAUACUUAUCUUCUAACUUCAAGGCUUUUAUUUUAUCAUCAUAGAUACACCAAAAUCGGAUUUGGAGGAUAAAUAUAGCAGAUAAUUACCAAACAAAAGCAAAUUUAGGCAGAAAAUCUUAAAAAAAUCGGACCUCAGCUUAGCUCAUGUCGUGAGUUGCGACAAAACCAAAAACAGGUUUCUUUUUCUUUCGAUCGAUUCACGAAUGUGCAAAUAUAUGAAAGAUAGCCAUAGGCUCUGAUACCACUAAUGAGUUAUUAGGGUUACAACUACAAUGCUCUAAGCAGAAAAGCAUUUAAACAAUUCAAAUGAUUAGGGAACAUGUAACCUAAUAGGAUUUAUGACUUUCACAUAUAGGAAACAUACUAUGAGUUAUUAUCCUACAAAACGUUUCUUUGAAAAACUAAUUCAUAAGAACAAGAAACUUACCUUGAAGAUUGUUAUAGAAAACAAUCUUGAAUCCUACUACAAAUACUUUUGGUAGCAAGCACCACAAGCGUCGUGCCUCUGAUGGUUCAUACCCAAACCCUAGCAACCAAGAAAUUUGAAGAGAGAGAGAGAGAGAGAGAGAGAGAGAGGAUAAGAUUAGAAUUUUCAGCCCUAAGCCUCUAAAUGAAACAUUUUUGAAAUUCUAAACCCUUAGAUGUUUAUAUAGGAAUCUAGGAAGGUAUUGGAUAAGGCAUGUAUCUCAAAGAUAACCCUAAUCCCUUAGCUUCCUCCCUAAGGCAUCCAAGGCACCCUUAAUGCCCAUGGAAACCCUGGAUACCAUUCUAGAAUUCGUCCCUUGCCUAGGGAGGUUCUAGAAUUGCUCAAUGAUCAACUUUUGAACAUUGUCACCUUUAGUCAUCCUCGUUCUUUUAAUUAGUCCGAUUAAUCCAAAAAUUAAUUCCAAUUAAUUUCUUCUUAAUUAUUAAUUAAAUAAUCCUAUUUCAAUUAAUAUAUUAUUCUCAUAAUAUAUAAACAAAUUAUUUAUUUUGAUUUCUAAUUAAUUUAUUAACCAUAUAAUAAAUUAAUAAAUCAAUCUCUCUAUAAAACCUAUCAUAUUCAAUAGUUAGGUUUGAGGGCAACCUAAAAGGACCAUGCUACCAUCAAUUUACGUUUAUACCAAUUAUAGUUAAUGGCUUAGACAUGUAAUCCAACAUAUGAAAAUUAGCAUAAAUCCACUGAACACUUGAACCUCUACCUUGGAUGAAAUCGAUGAUCACUGAGCUAAAAUCGAUUACAGUAUUGUAAUGAAUUGUUGAUGUCUAUAGAUGAGCAUAAACCUCAAUCACUCAUAUAGAAACAGACAAAAGAUUGAUUAGUGUGAAUCGAAUAUUAAUGAAUUUUGAUCGAUUAGCGUGAAUUGGUAGAAAGAAUCGAAGCAGCUAGGUUUUGUGAUGACGUGAAGAUAAUCCUAACAUUAUGUAUCAAAUCUGAUGAUCUAAAAUUUACCCUAGCCACUAAUUUAUCCCUAAUUACCUAAUCUUUUAUAUUAAUUAUUGUUAAUCAUGUUUUCUUAUUAGCUACAAGAUCAGUUUUGAUCUAAGUUUCAGAUUCGGUCCCCAUGUCUCACAAAAUAUUAGUGGUCUCAAAUAUAUAUANAUUUGAACAUUAAUUCAUUAAAUUCGGUUUGCAUUUAUUUAGUCAUAUCAAUUUCUUAUGAAUUUAUGUGUUUACCUUCAGCCAUGAGUAGUUAAUCUAGUUUACCUUUUUUAGCUAGAUGAAACCUUGAAACUAUGAGUUAGUUUACUAUUUAUUGGAUUUUAUAAAGUUUCCUUGGUGCUUGUGUUUGAUUAUCAUUACCUAGCAUGUUAAAGUUUGUAUCUUUAUUGCUUAAAUUCAAGUUUAGUGUAGCUUAGUGACCUAUUAAUACAUGGACUUGUUUACCUAGUAGUUUAGUGACCAUUAAAUUGCUUGAGAUAGGAGUGACCACAUCUUAGAUAAGUGAUAAAAGUAACAACUUUGUAUGUGUUGGAGAACAUAAUUAUGAUCAUAAUUGUGUUUGCUUAAUUGACUUAGAUAAAUCUUACAUAGCCCAAUUAUCGUUAAUAACUAAUUUUGUGUUUGCUUGUGUAGGACCAUUACAUAGUAGUACAUGAACUAGUGAAAAUAUUCGUAGAUUGGACCAAGAUUGCUAAUUACAUAAAAAUUGGUAACCAACUUUAUUAAUUCAUAAAUAAUAACUAACCAUAGGAUAAAGGUGGAUUAGAAACUAAAUGAAAGUGUUUUAAAUAUAUUGAUUAAAAUCGUUUUAGUUGAGUGUGUAAGUUAAUCUGAACUUGAAAAAUCAGAUAAAACCCUUUGUUAAUUAUUGCUUGCUUUUAUAUAUAUUUUUAGUAGUUAUUUUAAUAUAUUUAAUCCCCUCCUUGUUUUCGAUACCCAACUUACUUUACUAUACUGUAUACUGACUAGGUACAAUUUCUAUAGGUGCAUUAGUAUAUAAGUAGUUAGGUUAAAAUUUUAAUGCUAAAUACGUGAUAUAUUUUGCACACAUCAAGUUUUUGGCAUCAUUGUUGGGGAAUGACUAUUUCAGUUAUUAGUUAAUUGCUUUAGGUUAAUGGAUCCUUUUUAUGGGGAAAAACCUGCAAAAGUUACUUUUAGCAUUAGUUAAGUUUCUUGAAAUACUGAACUCACGACGUGAGAUCUGAUAUCUCAGAAUUUUAUUUCGUUUUUAUUUUUUUUUAUAAAUUUCAGUUCAUUUUUACAUUUUUGUUUCAGUAGUAGAUGAAUCGUGGAUCAAAGGCACCAUUGACACCACCAGUUGACGAUCCAGAGUCAAGUUUUUAUAAAAAGAAGGCAAGUACUUUUUGAGGAUCAAGCAGCAAGUCGAAAAACGAAAGCAUGUUCGAAAGUUUUGAGAAGACUCCUAACAAAAUGGAAGUUGGUUGCGACCCCGAAACAGAAAUAGACAAAAGUAGCGAACUUGAAAGCAAGCCCAAAAACAACAUGACGAACAUUGCUGACAUGACGAUGGAGGCAUACAAGAAGAGAAUAUGUGAGGACACCGGUCCAGGGCUUGUGUAACCUGCAAUUCCUGCUACCCCAACUUUCGAGCUAAAGGGACACAUCCUUUCGACACUAAAAGAUAUUCCAUUCUCCAGAAAAGAUCAUGAAGAUGCAUACAAGCACCUCGAUGAAGUUAAUGACGUCGUUGAUUAUUUCAAUAUUCUGAAUGUACCACGAGAAACUGUCUUGUUAAGAAUGCUUUUGGUUGCCUUCAAAGGAGUAGCAAAAGAUUGGCUAAAGGCACUCCUAACCAGUUCAAUCACCACAUGGGUGCAAAUGCAUGAAGAAUUUCUCCAACAAUUUUGCCUACCAUCAAAGGUUUCUAAACUCAAGAAAGCCAUAUCCAAUUUCGAGCAACAACUUGGGGAACCCUUAUAUGAAGCAUGGAAGAGGUAUAAGAGGUUACUAAGGAAUGUUCCCUAAAAUGAUCUAAACGGGCAACAAGAAGUCUCGAUUUUCUAUGAUGGGGUAAAACUAAUGGCAUGGCAACUCUCUGAUUCUCAAGGACCAUUAACCAAGAAGAAUCAUGCUAAAGUUAAGGAGCUAAUCAAAGAAUUUUCCAAGCAUUCAAGGGAGUACCACAACCCAAGACAAGACGGGGCUAGGGGAAUCGGAAAUAGUGCUUUAGAAGACAUGGCAGUUGUUUUGACAAUGUUGAGUAACAUGGAUCGAAGAAUGACGAAGAUGGACCAAUCCAUACAUGAAAUACAGGUAGGGUGUGAAAUUUGCAAUGAGCCAAAUUUGAUUAAGGAUUGCCAUUUAGACAAAAAAAAAAGGAAUUGGAAAGUGUAAUUUUGCUACUCUAGAGGAGUCUAAUAUUAUGAAGAUUGGAGAAAGUCAAAGAAAGAAUGGUUACCCUAUGAAGAGUAUAUGAUGUAACACCUGUGUUUCUGGGCUUGUCAUUAAUGUUGAUAUAAUAGUCUAGGUUAACCUUUGUAACCCGUUUUGAAAUAAUAGGAGUGUAUUAUUUGAGUAUUAUGUAUUUUGUGCUUAAUUGCUUAAUUAUGUGAUUUGAUUAAUUAAGAAUAAAAAUAAGCGUCAAAAUUUAAGUGUAAAAUAAACUCGAUUUGAGAUCGAGAGGUUUUUAGCCGAAACAAUCUAAACGAGAAUCGAAGAUCUCGUUGUUAGUAGCGAAACGAUGAAAAGUUAGGCGAGAACGGAUGCCGGAAGAAGAAGUUAUGAAUAUAUAACGAAGUUUUCAUGUCCCGGCCUACUAAAAAUAAAUAGUAAAAAUAAAAUCAAAAUUAGCCGACGGAGUCUAAACGAAAGUCGUAGAGCGUAGUCUCACCUACGUGUGGAUAUAAAGAACGUCGAAAAUGGAGUUCGUAUGAAGAAGAUAUGGAUUUUUGAAGUUUAUUAAAUAAUUAAAAUAUAUAAAUUUAAUCUUUAAUUCGGAUGUAUAUCCGAAGGAGUCACCGAUCUAAUCCGAAGUAUGCCCAGCAUACAGCGAAGCAUGACACGCCUCGCACUCGAGUUCUUCGGAUGACGCAUGCAGUGACGAAUUCGGACGCGUACACCCCGCGUACGGCUGUACGCCCAGCGUACUGCGAGGCUUCAGCCUCCUAUAAAUAGGAUGCGAGGGUUCCGGGCAUAUUUACUCAGUUCCUCUCUUUUUCAUGCCGAAGCUCUGCGUCUAAACCCCCGAAGCCAUCCUGACACCCCGGAUCUUAUAUCCAAGUUAAGAAGGAAGUUUUACGCUCCCGAGAUCCCAAGAGGUGCGAUUCCCGAGCCGAAGCUCUGCCCGCGAAGAGUUCGAUUUUUUUGUGAAGAUCUUCCAGAUCUACGGAGAAACACUACUUUUGCACGUCGUAAUGUUGUCUGAUCAUCUUCAAAAUCAAGUUAGUGUGUAGUUACUUUCUUCUAACGCAUAAUUAUGAAGUAUUUUAUACAAAAUACGUGUUAUGUGUAUAAUUUUGUUGUUAUGUGUGUGAAUUUAUAUUCACUCUCUUCUAUCUCAUAGAUCUGAUUUACUUUCUAUGAAAUACGUGUUAUGUGGGUGUGCCUCAUCUGUUAUGUGGAAUAUAUAUUGACUGAACAUGCUAUACAGGUUUUAAACUAUGCAUAAAAAUAUAUAUUUUUAUCUACUAAUAUGUUGGGUAGAACAUGGGUAGAUAGUUGAUGUGCGAUAAACGGAUGAGAGGCCUCGAUGUUGUUGUUGUUGAUAUAGUUAUUCAACGGAGUAUGGAUAAUGACCACGGACUCUUUCUAGACAAUCCAGUGGAAUNAGGCUUCAGCCUCCUAUAAAUAGGAUGCGAGGGUUCCGGGCAUAUUUACUCAGUUCCUCUCUUUUUCAUGCCGAAGCUCUGCGUCUAAACCCCCGAAGCCAUCCUGACACCCCGGAUCUUAUAUCCAAGUUAAGAAGGAAGUUUUACGCUCCCGAGAUCCCAAGAGGUGCGAUUCCCGAGCCGAAGCUCUGCCCGCGAAGAGUUCGAUUUUUUUGUGAAGAUCUUCCAGAUCUACGGAGAAACACUACUUUUGCACGUCGUAAUGUUGUCUGAUCAUCUUCAAAAUCAAGUUAGUGUGUAGUUACUUUCUUCUAACGCAUAAUUAUGAAGUAUUUUAUACAAAAUACGUGUUAUGUGUAUAAUUUUGUUGUUAUGUGUGUGAAUUUAUAUUCACUCUCUUCUAUCUCAUAGAUCUGAUUUACUUUCUAUGAAAUACGUGUUAUGUGGGUGUGCCUCAUCUGUUAUGUGGAAUAUAUAUUGAUUGAACAUGCUAUACAGGUUUUAAACUAUGCAUAAAAAUAUAUAUUUUUAUCUACUAAUAUGUUGGGUAGAACAUGGGUAGAUAGUUGAUGUGCGAUAAACGGAUGAGAGGCCUCGAUGUUGUUGUUGUUGAUAUAGUUAUUCAACGGAGUAUGGAUAAUGACCACGGACUCUUUCUAGACAAUCCAGUGGAAUGCUAGCUGGUUCAUAACCUGUAGGUGUUGUGAACGAUGUGUUCACCGGUGUACUCUAUCCCCCUCAUGGUUGACUUAGGAUAUCUAUUGUUGAGGAAACCCCUUAGCAGUAAUGUCCGUCCCGAUGAAAAUCCUAGAUUAGGUCCCUUAAGAUAGAUGUUGUUUUAGGGACAUAAAGUGAGGAUAACAGGAAUGGGUAAUCGGGUUAUCGUUGGUUGGUGAAAUUAAAUAUAAUUUAUUUAUUGUGGGUUGAAAACCCUAUAUGCUCACCAGGCUCCCAAGCCUGACCCACUUAGUUUUAUUUGUAUUACAGGAAAUGGCACAAGGGCAUAAGAUGGAUGAAUCAUCGAGUUGUUUUGUUUACAAGUCUGUAUAUGUAUAUAUUUGUUGAAUGACUUGUAAUGUUAUCGUUUAUGCUUUAUGGUCUGUAUCGGAACAUGACAUCCCGAGUUUUGAUUAUAUAAUGAAAAUGCAUCUCUUGAUGAAAUGCUUUGAUAAAUAUUAUUUUAUCAUAUUUUGUUUUGGGAACAAAUUCCGCAACUCUUUUAAAUCAAAAGGAUUUACUCUGAAAUUAUUUUAAAAAGCAUAAAUGAAANNNNNNNNNNNNNNNNNNNNNNNNNNNNNNNNNNNNNNNNNNNNNNNNNNNNNNNNNNNNNNNNNNNNNNNNNNNNNNNNNNNNNNNNNNNNNNNNNNNNNNNNNNNNNNNNNNNNNNNNNNNNNNNNNNNNNNNNNNNNNNNNNNNNNNNNNNNNNNNNNNNNNNNNNNNNNNNNNNNNNNNNNNNNNNNNNNNNNNNNNNNNNNNNNNNNNNNNNNNNNNNNNNNNNNNNNNNNNNNNNNNNNNNNNNNNNNNNNNNNNNNNNNNNNNNNNNNNNNNNNNNNNNNNNNNNNNNNNNNNNNNNNNNNNNNNNNNNNNNNNNNNNNNNNNNNNNNNNNNNNNNNNNNNNNNNNNNNNNNNNNNNNNNNNNNNNNNNNNNNNNNNNNNNNNNNNNNNNNNNNNNNNNNNNNNNNNNNNNNNNNNNNNNNNNNNNNNNNNNNNNNNNNNNNNNNNNNNNNNNNNNNNNNNNNNNNNNNNNNNNNNNNNNNNNNNNNNNNNNNNNNNNNNNNNNNNNNNNNNNNNNNNNNNNNNNNNNNNNNNNNNNNNNNNNNNNNNNNNNNNNNNNNNNNNNNNNNNNNNNNNNNNNNNNNNNNNNNNNNNNNNNNNNNNNNNNNNNNNNNNNNNNNNNNNNNNNNNNNNNNNNNNNNNNNNNNNNNNNNNNNNNNNNNNNNNNNNNNNNNNNNNNNNNNNNNNNNNNNNNNNNNNNNNNNNNNNNNNNNNNNNNNNNNNNNNNNNNNNNNNNNNNNNNNNNNNNNNNNNNNNNNNNNNNNNNNNNNNNNNNNNNNNNNNNNNNNNNNNNNNNNNNNNNNNNNNNNNNNNNNNNNNNNNNNNNNNNNNNNNNNNNNNNNNNNNAUGGAUUGGAUCUCCGAAAUGGAGAUGGUAUUUGAAAGUUGCGACUGUAGCAACAAACAGAAGACUGUCUUUGCAGUUAGACAACUGAAGACUGGAGUCUUGAGUUGGUGGAAGUUGUUGGCAGAUACUAUGCCACGAGGAGAAGCCCUGAAAAUGUCAUGGGAGGAGUUCUUGGAACAGUUAAGGGUACAGUAUUGUUCAGAGAUAGAUCUGAUUGAUCUGAACAAUGAGUUCCAAAACUUGAAGAAGGGGAGGAUGAGCAUAGAUGACUAUGCUACUGCAUUCACUGAGAAAAUGAAGUUAUUUUUGUACCUAGUGCCAACGGAACUCUCCAAGAUUGAGAGGUUUGCUAAUGGACUGCCUGCCAACUUUGGUCCGACAGUCAAGAUGGCAACUACUCUGAAAACAACUAUUCGUGCAGCUAAGAAUGUGGAGGCCCAGCUGAAGGAAAAGGGUCUGGAAAGGAUAGAUGUUGGUGAAAAGAGGAAGUUCGAUGGAACCUCAGGGUCCAACAAGAAAAACAAGUUCUCGAAGUCUAGUUCGAUAGGACGAGGAGGGGAAGCGAAAUGGUGCGACAAAUGUAAGAAGAAGCAUCAUGGAAAAUGUGAGGUAGUGGCCACGUGCUAUAAGUGUGGAAAGCCAUGGCACUAUGCCAAUGAAUGUACCCUCACUAAGAAAGUUUGUUAUGGUUGUGGUGAGGAGGGACACAUGUUGAGUGACUGCCCGAAGAAGAAGAAGGCAGCUAGACCCAACAUUCUGCCAAAGCCGAAGGCGAGAGCAUUCCAGAUGACACUGGAAGCUGCUAAAGAUGAAGCUGAUGUCGCUUCAGGUACCUUUCUCGUUAACAAAUUGCCUGCCCAAAUUUUAUUUGAUUCUGGAGCCAACUACUCCUUUAUAUCGCAUGAAUUUGGUAGAAAACUAGCUUUGCCUGUUGAUAGACUAGAUAAUGCUUUAUUAGUCGAAGUUGCUAGUGGCAAGUUUGUACCUGUUAGCCAUCGUAUGAAAAACAUCUUAAUUGAUUUGAAUGGGAAUAAGUUCCACGAGGAAUUAUUGCCUAUCGAACUUAACGGUUUCGACAUCGUUUUGGGAAUGGAUUGGCUUAGCGCCAAUGAUGCCGAAAUUUUAUGCAAGAAGAAAAUAGUGAAAGUGAACCCGCCUGGGAAGGAAUCGUUUAUGGUGUACGGAGAUAAACGCAGAGUAAAUUCUGGAAUCAUUUCUCUAAUGAAAGCCAGAAAAUGUUUGACCAAGGGGUGUACAUCAUACUUAGCAUUCGUGAUCGAUGCUAAGAAGGAAAAGAAGGUGAUGCAAAAUAUUCCUGUUGUGUGUGAUUAUCCGGAAGUAUUUCCCGAAGAUCUUCCUGGAUUACCGCCCGAUCGACAAGUAGAAUUUCGUAUCGACUUGUUGCCCGGAACAACGCCAAUUGCAAAAGCACCUUAUCGAUUAGCACCGACGGAGAUGAAGGAGCUGAUGAUGCAACUUCAGGAGUUAUUGGACAAAGGUUUCAUUAGACCUAGUUCAUCACCCUGGGGAGCUCCGGUGUUAUUCGUAAAGAAGAAAGAUGGAAGCAUGAGGAUGUGCAUUGAUUAUAGAGAGCUGAAUAAGGCAACAAUAAAGAAUAGAUAUCCGUUGCCGAGGAUUGAUGACCUAUUCGAUCAACUACAAGGUUCAAGUUAUUUUUCAAAGAUCGACCUGAGGUCAGGAUAUCAUCAGCUGAAAGUAAGAGAGCAGGAUAUAGAGAAGACUGCAUUCAGAACACGAUAUGGACACUACGAGUUUUUGGUUAUGUCGUUUGGACUAACCAAUGCUCCAGCAGCAUUCAUGGAUUUAAUGAACAGGGUUUGUAAUCCGUUCCUUGAUAAAUCUGUGAUAGUGUUCAUAGAUGACAUUCUGAUUUAUUCAAAGAGCCAAGAAGAGCAUGGCAGACACUUGCGAGAAGUGUUGGAAGUCUUGAAGAAGGAGAAGUUGUAUGCGAAGUUCUCCAAAUGUGAUUUUUGGAUUCGAGAAGUCCAAUUCUUGGGUCACGUGGUCAACCAAGAAGGUAUAAUGGUUGAUCCAGCAAAGAUUGAAGCUCUAAUGAAGUGGGAACAACCAAAAAGACCCACGGAGAUCCGAAGCUUUUUAGGAUUAGCCGGAUAUUACCGAAGGUUUAUCCAAGGCUUUUCUUCGAUCACUAGUCCAUUAACAGGUUUGACCCACAAAGGAGCUGCUUAUGCUUGGAGUGAUAAGCAUAAAGAAGCAUUCGAGAAGCUUAAGAAAAAGCUAUGUGAGGCACCGAUACUUUCUCUACCCGAUGGAGUUGAAGACUUCUCUAUUUAUAGCGAUGCGUAUGGGGUUGGAUUGGGUUAUGUUUUGACCCAAAGGGAUAAGGUGAUCGCAUAUGCGUCUCGACAAUUGAAAGAGCAUGAAAAGAACUACCCGACUCAUGAUUUGGAGUUGGCAGCGGUAGUUUUCGCUCUGAAAAUAUGGAGGCAUUACCUCUAUGGUAUGAAAUGCAAACUUUUCACUGAUCAUAAGAGUCUCCAAUAUCUCUUUAAUCAUAAAGAAUUGAAUAUGAGGCAACGACGCUGGCUAGAGUUACUUAAGGACUACGACUGUGAGAUACUUUACCACCCCGGUAAAGCUAAUGUUGUUGCUGAUGCACUAAGUCGGAAAGUCAAUCUUGAACGGAAAAGGCCAAGAGCGUUGAGAAUUAAAGUUGUCUCGACAAUUGUGGAAAGUAUAAAGAAAGCUCAAGAGGAAGCUUCUGAGAAGAAUGACCGAAAGGAGGAACGUUUGGGCAAAACGUUGGUGUUCGGUAUAAAUAGUCAUGGACUGAAGGUGUUCCAAGAUCGGAUUUGGAUACCUAAGACAGGAGGAAUUAGAGAUCUUCUGAUGGAAGAAGCUCACAAGACCAUGUACUCGAUUCAUCCCAGUAGCACUAAAAUGUAUAGGGACCUGAAACCCUACUACUGGUGGCCGACGAUGAAGCUUGAUGUUGCAAAGUAUGUGGUCGAGUGUGUGACUUGUGCGAGAGUCAAGACACAACAUCAGAAACUGUACGGGAGUUUAGAACAAUUGCCUGUGCCUAUGGGUAAGUAGGAAGACAUUGCGAUGGAUUUUGUCACUAAAAUGCCCAGAACAAAGAAUGGUCACGACAUGAUUUGGGUGGUCGUUGAUCA